CGGGCGUCUUAACAUGCAAGUCGAGCGAACGGACGAGAAGCUUGCUUCUCUGAUGUUAGCGGCGGACGGGUGAGUAACACGUGGAUAACCUACCUAUAAGACUGGGAUAACUUCGGGAAACCGGAGCUAAUACCGGAUAAUAUUUUGAACCGCAUGGUUCAAAAGCGAAAGACGGUCUUGCUGUCACUUAUAGAUGGAUCCGCGCUGCAUUAGCUAGUUGGUAAGGUAACGGCUUACCAAGGCAACGAUGCAUAGCCGACCUGAGAGGGGGAUCGGCCACACUGGAACUGAGACACGGUCCAGACUCCUACGGGAGGCAGCAGUAGGGAAUCUUCCGCAAUGGGCGAAAGCCUGACGGAGCAACGCCGCGUGAGUGAUGAAGGUCUUCGGAUCGUAAAAUUCUGUUAUUAGGGAAGAACAUAUGUGUAAGUAACUGUGCACAUCUUGACGGUACCUAAUCAGAAAGCCACGGCUAACUAC
rnacentral:rRNA from 1 species